rnacentral:rRNA from 1 species
UACGUAGGGUCCGAGCGUUGUCCGGAAUUACUGGGCGUAAAGGGCGCGUAGGCGGCCUGCUAAGUCGAACGUGAAAUCCCCGGGCUUAACCCGGGAACUGCGUCCGAUACUGGUGGGCUUGAAUCCGGGAGAGGGAUGUGGAAUUCCAGGUGUAGCGGUGAAAUGCGUAGAUAUCUGGAGGAACACCGGUGGCGAAGGCGGCAUCCUGGACCGGUAUUGACGCUGAGGCGCGAAAGCCAGGGGAGCAAACGGG